UUAAAUUGCAGAAGGGGAAGGCGAAAGCCUUCGGCAAGAAUCGAGUUGUGCAGCGCUAGCGCAGCCGGCCCGAAGGGUGAGAGUUAAGCGACGAACAAUCCUUCUCCUCCCUAAA
rnacentral:sRNA from 1 species